AAGUCGUAACAAGGUUUCCGUAGGUGAACCUGCGGAAGGAUCAUUAUGAAUUAAUAAUAUUUGUGAAAUUUCAACAAACAACAUCAAUUUUAUAGUCUAUUAUUUUUAAUUAAAA
rnacentral:misc_RNA from 1 species